rnacentral:snoRNA from 8 species
AAAGUGGUAGGUCUCGCUAUCCAUGAUGACUAUUCAAGAUAUUCCCGUUCAGAGCAUGAAUCUGGUGGCUAGAAAUGACUUUGCUCAUGUUUCUUCCACCUUUGAUGAUCUUUCCUUGUUCUUCAAUGAACAUGGAUGAAGGGAAUAUGUUCUGAGUGGA